CCUACGGGAGGCAGCAGUGGGGAAUUUUGCGCAAUGGGGGAAACCCUGACGCAGCAACGCCGCGUGCGGGAUGACGGCCCUCGGGUUGUAAACCGCUUUCAGCAGGGAAGAUAUUGACGGUACCUGCAGAAGAAGCUCCGGCUAACUACGUGCCAGCAGCCGCGGUAAUACGUAGGGAGCGAGCGUUAUCCGGAUUCAUUGGGCGUAAAGCGCGCGUAGGCGGCUGCCUAAGCGGAACCUCUAACCCCGGGGCUCAACCUCGGGCCGGGUUCCGAACUGGGCGGCUCGAGUGCGGUAGAGGAGAGCGGAAUUCCCGGUGUAGCGGUGGAAUGCGCAGAUAUCGGGAAGAACACCGAUGGCGAAGGCAGCUCUCUGGGCCGGCACUGACGCUGAGGCGCGAAAGCUGGGGGAGCGAACAGGAUUAGAUACCCGAGUAGUC
rnacentral:rRNA from 1 species